GAUUAACGCGAAGAACCUUACCAGCUCUUGACAUCUUCUGAUCACCCUAGAGAUAGGGCUUUCCCUUCGGGGACAGAAUGACAGGUGGUGCAUGGUUGUCGUCAGCUCGCGUCGUGAGAUGUUGGGUUAAGUCCCAUAACGAGCGCGACCCUUAUUGUUAGUUGCCAGCAUUCAGUUGGGCACUCUAGCGAGACUGCCGGUGAUAAACCGGAGGAAGGUGGGGAUGACGUCAAAUCAUCAUGCCCCUUAUGAGCUGGGCUACACACGUGCUACAAUGGACGGUACAACGAGUUGCGAGGCCGCAAGGCUUAGCGAAUCUUUAUAAGCCGUUCUCAGUUCGGAUUGCUCUCUGCAACUCGAGAGCAUGAAGCCGGAAUCGCUAGUAAUCG
rnacentral:rRNA from 1 species